CAUGGAGUCCCAUGGGAGAGGCACAGGGAGGCACAUUAAGGACACAUACAUCACAGAGCUGAAGAGAGGAUUUUCUUUCACCUCUAUCAUCAUUUCUCAAGGAUCAGGACCUGAUCGUAGAUUAUUUUUCCCUGGACCUCUGGGCCUCCCCUUUCCAGACAUUUUUAAAAUAAACCCAUAUUGAAAUAACAUUUCUGUGUGUCAAUGAUUCUUAAAAUAGUCCCGGACCACACAGUCUGGAAUAUCUCCAUACACAUGGCUCAGUGCUGCCUUCUGACUCUCUCCAGUGAGAUCUGGCAUUGGUUAUUGUCUACAAGUUGGAGGAUAAAUAUACUAAGAAGUAACAUCUGUAGAAAGACUGAGGAAGCCAUAAACUGUUUUGUCUUCUGAAAUCCUUUGGGCUGUGUAAGUCGGCUGACUCGAUUGACCAGCUGCUACUUGGCAUGUCUGUAAACUACAAUAAGUGGAAUCGUCAGGUCCCUGCCAUGUUAAUGUGGAUACGAUCUAUGAAGACUUUUGUGGGUACCAGAGGAGGGACUCACAUCCAUCAGACACUUACGGCCUAUCCUUAAAGGCUGAGGCCACAUGGGUUGGCACUGAUGUGGAUGGAAACCUUGGCAGCACGCAGCCGAUUGUAAUAACUGUAACACCCCAGAGUGAUGUUACCACUUCUGCACCUUGCCACUAUAUUUUAUGGUCUAACCAGUAUGUCACCUAUAUAUUUAUUUCCAGGUCCCUCAACACUGUGCAUUUAUAAUAUUGUUAUGUAACUGUUCGUGUAAUGUGCCUGGUUCACCAGCAGGUGGCA